UACGUAUGGUGCGAACGUUGUUCGGAAUCACUGGGCAUAAAGAGCACGUAGGCGGUUGAGCAAGUCCAUUGUGAAAUCCCCCGGCCUAACCGGGGAACUGCGUUGGAUACUACUUGACUUGAGUGCAGGAGGGGAGAGUGGAAUUCCAGGUGGAGCGGUGAAAUGCGUAGAUAUCUGGAGGAACGCCGGCGGCGAAAGCGACUCUCUGGUCUGUAACUGACGCUGAGGUGCGAAAGCGUGGGGAGCGAACAGG
rnacentral:rRNA from 1 species